rnacentral:rRNA from 1 species
AAUACGCUAGUAAUCGCGGAUCAGCACGCCGCGGUGAAUACGUUCCCGGGCCUUGUACACACCGCCCGUCACACCAUGGAAGUCUGCAAUGCCCGAAGCCGGUGGCCUAACCACUUAUGUGGAAGGAGCCGUCUAAGGCAGGGCAGAUGACUGGGGUGAAGUCGUAACAAGGUAAC